UACGGAGGGUGCGAGCGUUGUCCGGAAUCAUUGGGCGUAAAGGGCGCGUAGGUGGCCCCUCAAGCGUGCGGUGAAAGUCAGGGGCUCAACCCCUGAUCGGCCGUGCGAACUGGGGAGCUUGAGCACUGUAGAGGCAGGCGGAAUUCCGGGUGUAGCGGUGGAAUGCGUAGGAGAUCCGGAAGAACACCGGUGGCGAAGGCGGCCUGCUGGGCAGUUUUGCUGACACUGGACGGCGCGACGAGCGUGGGGAGCAAACAGGAUUGA
rnacentral:rRNA from 1 species